rnacentral:misc_RNA from 1 species
CACCAAUCAAGCGCAGCUUGGUGUUGGGGCACCCGGCCGCCCAGCGGCCCGGGGCCCCCAAGUGCAUCGGCGGGCUCGCCGGGACCCUGAACGCAGUAACACGCGGUAAAACGCGCCCUCGUUCGGCGGUCACGGGCGGGUUCUUGCCGCUAAACCCGCCACAAUGUGGUUUUUCUCA